AUAGGGCGCUUAGUCAGAUGCUGCAGACCCGAAACGAAGUGAUCUAUCCAUGAGCAAGUUGAAGCUAGUGUAAGAACUAGUGGAGGACUGAACCCAUAGGCGUUGAAAAGCCCCGGGAUGACUUGUGGAUAGGGGUGAAAGGCCAAUCAAACUUCGUGAUAGCUGGUUCUCUCCGAAAUAUAUUUAGGUAUAGCGUUGUGUCGUAAUAUAAGGGGGUAGAGCACUGAAUGGGCUAGGGCAUACACCAAUGUACCAAACCCUAUCAAACUCCGAAUACCUUAUAUGUAAUCACAGCAGUCAGGCGGCGAGUGAUAAAAUCCGUCGUCAAGAGGGAAACAACCCAGACUACCAGCUAAGGUCCCUAAGUCUUACUUAAGUGGAAAACGAUGUGAAGUUACUUAAACAACCAGGAGGUUGGCUUAGAAGCAGCCAUCCUUUAAAGAAAGCGUAAUAGCUCACUGGUCUAGUGAUUUUGCGCGGAAAAUAUAACGGGGCUAAAGUAAGUACCGAAGCUGUAGACUUAGUUUACUAAGUGGUAGGAGAGCGUUCUAUUUGCGUCGAAGGUAUACCGGUAAGGAGUGCUGGAGCGAAUAGAAGUGAGCAUGCAGGCAUGAGUAGCGAUAAUUAAUGUGAGAAUCAUUAACGCCGUAAACCCAAGGUUUCCUACGCGAUGCUCGUCAUCGUAGGGUUAGUCGGGUCCUAAGUCGAGUCCGAAAGGGGUAGACGAUGGCAAAUUGGUUAAUAUUCCAAUACCAACAUUAGUGUGCGAUGGAAGGACGCUUAGGGCUAAGGGGGCUAGCGGAUGGAAGUGCUAGUCUAAGGUCGUAGGAGGUUAUACAGGCAAAUCCGUAUAACAAUACUCCGAGAACUGAAAGGCUUUUUGAAGUCUUCGGAUGGAUAGAAGAACCCCUGAUGCCGUCGAGCCAAGAAAAGUUUCUAAGUUUAGCUAAUGUUGCCCGUACCGUAAACCGACACAGGUGGGUGGGAUGAGUAUUCUAAGGCGCGUGGAAGAACUCUCUUUAAGGAACUCUGCAAAAUAGCACCGUAUCUUCGGUAUAAGGUGUGGUUAGCUUUGUAUUAGGAUUUACUCCGAAAGCAAGGAAACUUACAACAAAGAGUCCCUCCCGACUGUUUACCAAAAACACAGCACUCUGCUAACUCGUAAGAGGAUGUAUAGGGUGUGACGCCUGCCCGGUGCUCGAAGGUUAAUUGAUGGGGUUAGCAUUAGCGAAGCUCUUGAUCGAAGCCCGAGUAAACGGCGGCCGUAACUAUAACGGUCCUAAGGUAGCGAAAUUCCUUGUCGGUUAAAUACCGACCUGCAUGAAUGGCGUAACGAGAUGGGAGCUGUCUCAAAGAGGGAUCCAGUGAAAUUGUAGUGGAGGUGAAAAUUCCUCCUACCCGCGGCAAGACGGAAAGACCCCGUGGACCUUUACUACAGCUUGACACUGCUACUUGGAUAAGAAUGUGCAGGAUAGGUGGGAGGCUUUGAGUAUAUGACGCCAGUUGUAUAUGAGCCAUUGUUGAGAUACCACUCUUUCUUAUUUGGGUAGCUAACCAGCUUGAGUUAUCCUCAAGUGGGACAAUGUCUGGUGGGUAGUUUGACUGGGGCGGUCGCCUCCCAAAUAAUAACGGAGGCUUACAAAGGUUGGCUCAGAACGGUUGGAAAUCGUUCGUAGAGUAUAAAGGUAUAAGCCAGCUUAACUGCAAGACAUACAAGUCAAGCAGAGACGAAAGUCGGUCUUAGUGAUCCGGUGGUUCUGUGUGGAAGGGCCAUCGCUCAAAGGAUAAAAGGUACCCCGGGGAUAACAGGCUGAUCUCCCCCAAGAGCUCACAUCGACGGGGAGGUUUGGCACCUCGAUGUCGGCUCAUCGCAUCCUGGGGCUGGAGCAGGUCCCAAGGGUAUGGCUGUUCGCCAUUUAAAGCGGUACGCGAGCUGGGUUCAGAACGUCGUGAGACAGUUCGGUCCCUAUCUGCCGUGGGCGUAAGAAGAUUGAAGAGAUUUGACCCUAGUACGAGAGGACCGGGUUGAACAAACCACUGGUGUAGCUGUUGUUCUGCCAAGAGCAUCGCAGCGUAGCUAAGUUUGGAAAGGAUAAACGCUGAAAGCAUCUAAGCGUGAAGCCAACUCUAAGAUGAAUCUUCUCUAAGCUCUCUAGAAGACUACUAGUUUGAUAGGCUGGGUGUGUAAUGGAUGAAAGUCCUUUAGCUGACCAGUACUAAUAGAGCGUUUGGCUUAUCUUU
rnacentral:rRNA from 1 species